AAGGAUUUAAGUUAAAAUAAACUUGUAGCCUUCAAAGCUUCGAAUAAAGGUUACCUUUAAGCCUUA
rnacentral:tRNA from 1 species